GCUGCUACUGUGGCAAUGCUGGAUCCUUUUACCCACGGCACUGGGGCUGGGGAUCUAACCUGGGCCUCCACAGCCGCCUGAGCUGCUACAUUCGGAUUCUUACCCCAAAGCAGGAACUCCUGCAGAUGUAUUUUGGUGUGGGGGGAAGUGAGCUCCACAUCCUCUUACUCCAUCAUCUUGACCCCCCUCCCAGUCUUUCUCUCUUCCUCUCCUCUCCCUUCCUCUCCUCAGAGAGCCCUGGAGAAAGGAAUGAGCACAUACACAAGGUGAUUUUGGUGAGAAGGACCAUGAGGAAAAGAAAGCAGAGUCAUGUGGGAGAAAAAUGACUGAAGUUGUCAAAGCAAGACUCGCAAAGAGGUGACACUUGAGACCCAGAUGAUCAGACUGCAUCAGGACCCCAGGCCGGUAUCUUUGUUGAAAGCAGGAUACAACUCUGGUCAACAUAAGCAGAAAAGGAAUGCGCUGGAAGGGUGUCCAGUAGUUCAGAGAAUGGACAGGAGGCCUGGAAAAUUAGGCCAGCCCAGAGGCCAUUGCUCAGGGAGCCUGGUGGCCGGAACACUGACCAAAGUCCUGUCCCAGAGGGCUCUUGUUAGGACCCAGCUGCCACUGCUCUGAAUACCGACCUCGAACCCCGGACCCACUGGCACAGCACCACCAGAAGGACGUCCAGACCUCAUGACCCUGGACCACGUGUUCACAGGUGAAGGACGGUUUCUGCAGCCGGCACGUGAGAGCCAAACGGUGGGAAGCAGUGCACGAGUCUGCGCCGAAGACAGCCAGUCCAUGCAUGGGGAGGUUGUCUCGGUUGGCGAAGGAACAAAGGGAGGACAUGCUCGGGCCAGGAGAUGCAGUUCCUCGAUCUCGCCACUAGAGGUCAGGAGGUUACCGCUUCAGGGUUGGAAGACGGGCCCUUGGGGGACGGGCUACUGGUGACAGUGGAUGGGGCUGAGACUAGGCAGGGCGUGGGAGACGCAUCUGGCGACUCCCUGGUGAAGGACACCUGCCUUUGGUGUGACUCUUUUGGAUUGCUCUUGGCGUCAAAUCCCUUGUCUUUGUGGGGCUGAGGGAGCAGAGGAAAGAUGCCGGUUUGGGGUCAAAGGUGGAGCUGAUAUAUUGCAGCUUCUCAAAGCAGUCUUUCUCUACCAGAGAUACAAUCUGCAAGGGGUCCUGAAUAGUGCAGGGGUCCUAGUGAAGGUUCUGUCACUCCCUGGGAGGCCUUCUGCCCAAGCACCCCAUCCUCCACCUGGGCGAGCUGUCCAGAAGCCCCACCUCCCAGCCUGACGCUGCCAUCAGCUGGGACCAUUUUUUAGGACCAAGUCUGCACUUGCACAGCCCAGGCCCGGAGAAGGCCUGGGGCUAGGUUCCCAGGGUCCUGGGUUCUUAGCCCGGCUGGGUCCUGUACAGGCCCCUUCUGCUUGUGGAGCCUGAGUUUCCCCAUGUGUCUAAUAAGGAAGCUGUACUGGGCGAGGCUCUAGGUAACCUUCUCAGUUUGCAGUCUGUCAUUUCCAUGUGUUUCUUACAGAGUCUGUGAGGCUCCUCUCUGCAUGAGAGCCCUCAAAGGCAAGGCUAAGAUUCUCAGAGUACACCCAGAUACAAGGCCCCUCGACAACAGAUCGUCUCCCACUUCGGGCCUUCAGAGCUUCCCCUUUCAGCUGUGUGGGAAAGAGGGACGCCUUGCCUCAGUCCCCCAGAGGAAGGCAGGGCCUGGCCCCCACGUUCGGAGGCUGGGGAAAAGCGGAGUUCCGGGGCCAGGCUGCGGGGACCUCCGUGGAAGCCCUAGGUGGUACAGGUCAUUUCAGAGCCAUCUGGAGGAUGCGGCCGCAGGACAGGGUGCCGAGGCCCCCGCUCCUCCUUCCCCCACAGCACUUAGGGCUCAGCAGAGAUGCUGAAGACUGGCUAACGGCCCAGGAGGGAGAGGACGGGGGAGGACCGUCCCCCAGGUAAGCGGAGGAUGUGGCAGUCAGAAGACCUGAGCCUGAGUCCUGGUAGCCGGGGACUGUUGCAGCUGCAGGACCUUGGUAACUACUCGGCUUCUCUGAAUCUGCUUCCUCAUCGGUCACGGGGGUGGGGGGGGUGGGGGGUGACAAUUAGACCCAUUGCACAGGACUGUACCGAGUGGGGGUGGAGUCCUGUUUUCCCUGCAAACUGAAAAAGGGUGAUGGGCACUUGGUGGGAUUCAAAUCAUCGCCCAGGCCUCAGAUGGUAAUGUGCUUUGUGUCUGCAGCAGGAGGGCCAGCCCUGGCCCUGUGAGCCCGGCACCAGCGCUGGCGUGGGUGGGCAGCAGGCAGGGUGAGGCAGGCAGGCAGCUAGCAGGGCUUCCUGUGUGCAAGCCCAGCACCCCAUUCCCCCUGAAGUGUGGUGUCUGGCGCUCUGGGCUGGGGGCGCGGCCGGGGCCAUGGGCCCUGGUCUGCCCCAGUUGUGGCAGGACUGGAAGGCCUCGGGCAGGUCACUUUCCCUCUCUGGCUCCAUUUCCCAUCCGUGUAGUGAUGGGUUGAACGUGGAAAUUCCUGGGUUCUGUAUUUGUCCAUCUAGUGUUCCUGGAGACCCCUUGGUUGGCAGGAAACGUCUGGAGCUUCAGGCCUGGGCCCAAGAUUCUGACGCCCUCAACUUUUUCCUGGUGACCCUGACCUGGGGUACAGGGUGGCUCUCUUGGCUCCUGGAGGGCAGAGGCAGCCCCAGAGGCUUUCCCAGCAACGAGCCCCUGGACUGUGUCUGGGUCCUCCUGGAAGGGACAUCAGUAGGGCUAGGAUGCACAGCAGCCCUGGGGGCCCCCUACUUCCCAACCCUGAUCCCGGAAGGGCCCUGGGGCGGGGGCGGAGGGGAGAGGAGCAUGAGGACAAGGAGGACGUCUCGAUUCUUUUCAUGCAAAGAUCAAGGUGCUCUUUCUCUUUUGACCACAGCUGAGCUGAUGCUUAAGCUAGGAGCGCUCAGAGGCAGGAUCCACCCUCCAGCUUCCUCAGCAGGAGAGCGAUCAAAGGCUGCCUAGAAACCCCACCUACCCUUCAAGGCCUUGCUGAAGCAUCACCUCUUUGGGGAAGCUGAUCCUGCUCUCCCAGUAGAGCCAACAGAAUCCAUAGCCGUGCAGGUACCUGCAGUAUAAGCCAGCGACAAGCAGAGGUGGGGAGACGCUCUAAGGACACACGGAGCCGGCAGGGCGUGGAACUGCUCUGUCCCCACAGAUUCCCCAGCCUCCCGUUCGUCCUAGUUGUCGGACGUCCCCAGCUCUACUCUGUGACAAAGGAAAGACUAGAAAUUAAGCACUGACCGCGUGGGGGUGGGGAGAGGAGCGAAGACAUGGUCUCUCCCGCAGCCUCAGAGAGCCGCCGGACCCCGCAACCACCCCGUGCACUUCGCCACCAGGGGACCUGGCGGACAGCCUUCCGCUCGGCCACGCAGGCCUACAGACCGCACUCCGGGCGCACUCGCCCAAGCAUUAGGUUCCAUGGAAGAAGCAAGCUAGAAUCCCACUUCCUUUAUGAGAAAGUCUGGAAAACGCAAACCUAUGGCAACAGAAAACAGACCAGCCAUGGCCUGGGGCCAGGGGACCUUUCUGGGGCAAUUGUGUGGGUGUCUGAGCCGUGGUGGUGACCAGACUGCAGGUCCGUCUCCCUUCAAACGGGGAGAGACCUGCUGGAUGGAAGUUAUGCCUCAGUAAACCGGACUCUUUGCACAAGCUGGGGGGUUCCUUGACCCCCUGCCAGAGACAGUGAA